GCCGAACUUUGUAACGCAAGUUUGUAACCUAAGUAGGGGCAAUAAGGUAUUAGAAGGUCCAUACAGAGCUUGCUUUGGCUUUA
rnacentral:SRP_RNA from 1 species